rnacentral:sRNA from 1 species
GACUUCGAUAUUUGUGAUGAGACCUCA